rnacentral:tRNA from 1 species
GCCAGCGUGGCACAGUGGUUUGAGUGUUGGACUAUGACUCCGGAGACCAGGGUUAGAUUCCGCGCUUGCC